GCAGCAGGGAGGAAGCGAGAAGAAACCGCUUCGUGCAAUUCAAAACGCCGGCUCCCUUCUGAGGUACUAUACACGCACGCACACAAAAUGAGUGCUCGAGAGAAACUGAAGGAUGCAGUAUGCUCUUCAGCUUCCCCACAAAUCCCCAAAUUCCUUUGUUUAAAACAAAACACAACAAAACAAAAUGUGUGGCUUUUCUCAAAAUGACAACCCAAACAGGCAGGAUCUGAAAUCCCCAGAACACAACCUAGACCAUAGAACUCGGGCUCAACAAGGGGGUGUUGUGGAGCCCCGUGAAACCCAGAGGACGGCGGCAUAAACGGCCACGGCCUCUUGCGCAGCCGUGUCUGCGGGACCCCCGACAUCUGAAGGCCAAGGGAAGAUCCAGCGUGUCACCGAGUUUGGUGAGACGCGGACAAACCACCGAAUGGCUGAGCUGCCCAGAUUUUCCCAAAUCGUCCACAUGGGAUGAAGCCACGAGGUGGAGGUAGUGAUCAUUCAUCCCAAAGCAUUUUUCCAAAUGGCCACCUCCAACAGGAGAGGCAAUUCCAGUCUUCGCAGGCCACUCCCAGCACAGCUCAGUCUUCUCUGGCGGCCCCGUGACCAGCAGACCAUCGCCUCUGCCACCGCUCCCCGGAUGCGGGAAGCCUGCUCAGGGAGCUGUUUCCUCCCUCUGCGGGGGCCGUUUCCUUCUGAAGGCCCUGACCUUGCUCUUGGUGGCCCAGAGGCUCCUGGGCUAACUGAUGGCGUGCCCGGAGGGGCAGUCCUCGGCCACAGGAGGCCACUGAGCAAUGGCACUUAGCACCUCCUCCAGGUGCCCUGGCCUGCAGACUCUCACACACACACUCAUGCACACUGCACACACUCUUGCACAUGCCUUGCACAUGUGCACACUCUCUCUUACACACUCACAAGGCACACCCACAUUGAGACACUCACCCACACACACUUUCACAUCACACACACACACACACUGACUCAUACACUAGCUAACAUACACUCUUUGACACACACUUUUGCACACACACUCAGAUAUCCACUCACAUGCCCCAGACAUACACACAGUCAUGUACAUCCUUU